UACGUAGGUGGCGAGCGUUGUCCGGAAUUACUGGGUGUAAAGGGCGUGUAGGCGGGGGAACAAGUCGGAUGUGAAAUACCGUGGCUUAACCACGGGGCUGCAUCUGAAACUGUUUUUCUUGAGUGUCGGAGAGGAAAGUGGAAUUCCCAGUGUAGCGGUGAAAUGCGUAGAUAUUGGGAGGAACACCAGUGGCGAAGGCGACUUUCUGGACGAUAACUGACGCUGAGGCGCGAAAGCGUGGGGAGCAAACAGG
rnacentral:rRNA from 1 species